CCCCUCGUAGCUCAAUGGAUAGAGCACUCCCGUCCUAAGGGAUAGAUGUAGGUUCGAUUCCUGUCGAGGGGA
rfam:Candidatus Kaiserbacteria bacterium RIFCSPHIGHO2_02_FTLL_55_17 rifcsphigho2_02_scaffold_12744, whole genome shotgun sequence.